AGCGAACGCUGGCGGCAGGCCUAACACAUGCAAGUCGAGCGCCCCGCAAGGGGAGCGGCAGACGGGAGAGUAACACGUGGGAACGUACCCUUCAGUUCGGAACAACCCAGGGAAACUUGGGCUAAUACCGGAUACGUCCGUAAGGAGAAAGAUUUAUCGCUGAAGGAUCGGCCCGCGUCUGAUUAGCUAGUUGGUGAGGUAACGGCUCACCAAGGCGACGAUCAGUAGCUGGUCUGAGAGGAUGAUCAGCCUCACUGGGACUGAGACACGGCCCAGACUCCUACGGGAGGCAGCAGUGGGGAAUAUUGGACAAUGGGCGCAAGCCUGAUCCAGCCAUGCCGCGUGGAUGAUGAAGGCCCUAGGGUUGUAGAGUCCUUUCGGCGGGGAAGAUAAUGACGGUACCCGCAGAAGAAGCCCCGGCUAACUUCGUGCCAGCCGCCGCAGUAAGAC
rnacentral:rRNA from 1 species